rnacentral:rRNA from 1 species
ACGAACGCUGGCGGCACGCCUAACACAUGCAAGUCGAACGAAGCGUAAGAGCUUGCUCUUACGACUGAGUGGCAAACGGGUGAGUAACGCGUGGGAAUCUACCUAUUGGUGGGGGACAACUGUUGGAAACGACAGCUAAUACCGCAUAAGCCCUCAGGGGGAAAGGAGCAAUCCGCCAAUAGAUGAGCCCGCGUUAGAUUAGGUAGUUGGUGGGGUAAAGGCCCACCAAGCCUAUGAUCUAUAGCUGGUCUGAGAGGAUGGUCAGCCACACUGGGACUGAGACACGGCCCAGACUCCUACGGGAGGCAGCAGUGGGGAAUAUUGGACAAUGGGGGAAACCCUGAUCCAGCGAUGCCGCGUGAGUGAAGAAGGCCUUAGGGUUGUAAAGCUCUUUUAGUAGGGAAGAUUAUGACGGUACCUACAGAAAAAGCACCGGCUAACUCUGU